rnacentral:rRNA from 1 species
GGGACACGUGGUAUCCUGUCUGAAUAUGGGGGGACCAUCCUCCAAGGCUAAAUACUCCUGACUGACCGAUAGUGAACCAGUACCGUGAGGGAAAGGCGAAAAGAACCCCGGCGAGGGGAGUGAAAAAGAACCUGAAACCGUGUACGUACAAGCAGUGGGAGCACGCUUAGGCGUGUGACUGCGUACCUUUUGUAUAAUGGGUCAGCGACUUAUAUUCUGUAGCAAGGUUAACCGAAUAGGGGAGCCGAAGGGAAACCGAGUCUUAACUGGGCGUUAAGUUGCAGGGUAUAGACCCGAAACCCGGUGAUCUAGCCAUGGGCAGGUUGAAGGUUGGGUAACACUAACUGGAGGACCGAACCGACUAAUGUUGAAAAAUUAGCGGAUGACUUGUGGCUGGGGGUGAAAGGCCAAUCAAACCGGGAGAUAGCUGGUUCUCCCCGAAAGCUAUUUAGGUAGCGCCUCGUGAAUUCAUCUCCGGGGGUAGAGCACUGUUUCGGCAAGGGGGUCAUCCCGACUUACCAACCCGAUGCAAACUGCGAAUACCGGAGAAUGUUAUCACGGGAGACACACGGCGGGUGCUAACGUCCGUCGUGAAGAGGGAAACAACCCAGACCGCCAGCUAAGGUCCCAAAGUCAUGGUUAAGUGGGAAACGAUGUGGGAAGGCCCAGACAGCCAGGAUGUUGGCUUAGAAGCAGCCAUCAUUUAAAGAAAGCGUAAUAGCUCACUGGUCGAGUCGGCCUGCGCGGAAGAUGUAACGGGGCUAAACCAUGCACCGAAGCUGCGGCAGCGACACUAUGUGUUGUUGGGUAGGGGAGCGUUCUGUAAGCCUGUGAAGGUGUGCUGUGAGGCAUGCUGGAGGUAUCAGAAGUGCGAAUGCUGACAUAAGUAACGAUAAAGCGGGUGAAAAGCCCGCUCGCCGGAAGACCAAGGGUUCCUGUCCAACGUUAAUCGGGGCAGGGUGAGUCGACCCCUAAGGCGAGGCCGAAAGGCGUAGUCGAUGGGAAACAGGUUAAUAUUCCUGUACUUGGUGUUACUGCGAAGGGGGGACGGAGAAGGCUAUGUUGGCCGGGCGACGGUUGUCCCGGUUUAAGCGUGUAGGCUGGUUUUCCAGGCAAAUCCGGAAAAUCAAGGCUGAGGCGUGAUGACGAGGCACUACGGUGCUGAAGCAACAAAUGCCCUGCUUCCAGGAAAAGCCUCUAAGCAUCAGGUAACAUCAAAUCGUACCCCAAACCGACACAGGUGGUCAGGUAGAGAAUACCAAGGCGCUUGAGAGAACUCGGGUGAAGGAACUAGGCAAAAUGGUGCCGUAACUUCGGGAGAAGGCACGCUGAUAUGUAGGUGAAGUCCCUCGCGGAUGGAGCUGAAAUCAGUCGAAGAUACCAGCUGGCUGCAACUGUUUAUUAAAAACACAGCACUGUGCAAACACGAAAGUGGACGUAUACGGUGUGACGCCUGCCCGGUGCCGGAAGGUUAAUUGAUGGGGUUAGCGCAAGCGAAGCUCUUGAUCGAAGCCCCGGUAAACGGCGGCCGUAACUAUAACGGUCCUAAGGUAGCGAAAUUCCUUGUCGGGUAAGUUCCGACCUGCACGAAUGGCGUAAUGAUGGCCAGGCUGUCUCCACCCGAGACUCAGUGAAAUUGAACUCGCUGUGAAGAUGCAGUGUACCCGCGGCAAGACGGAAAGACCCCGUGAACCUUUACUAUAGCUUGACACUGAACAUUGAGCCUUGAUGUGUAGGAUAGGUGGGAGGCUUAGAAGUGUGGACGCCAGUCUGCAUGGAGCCGACCUUGAAAUACCACCCUUUAAUGUUUGAUGUUCUAACGUUGACCCGUAAUCCGGGUUGCGGACAGUGUCUGGUGGGUAGUUUGACUGGGGCGGUCUCCUCCUAAAGAGUAACGGAGGAGCACGAAGGUUGGCUAAUCCUGGUCGGACAUCAGGAGGUUAGUGCAAUGGCAUAAGCCAGCUUGACUGCGAGCGUGACGGCGCGAGCAGGUGCGAAAGCAGGUCAUAGUGAUCCGGUGGUUCUGAAUGGAAGGGCCAUCGCUCAACGGAUAAAAGGUACUCCGGGGAUAACAGGCUGAUACCGCCCAAGAGUUCAUAUCGACGGCGGUGUUUGGCACCUCGAUGUCGGCUCAUCACAUCCUGGGGCUGAAGUAGGUCCCAAGGGUAUGGCUGUUCGCCAUUUAAAGUGGUACGCGAGCUGGGUUUAGAACGUCGUGAGACAGUUC